AGCCACGUGGCCUAAUGGAGAAGGCGUCUGACUUCGGAUCAGAAGAUUGUAGGUUCGAGUCCUACCAUGGUUG